CAAUUUAAGCUGUCCCCAAUGGAGGUGAGCUGCCUGAGGAAGCAGCAACUUUCCUCAGCUGGGAAGAUAUUGAUGCACAAUCUGGAAAGCCACUUUUGAGGAGACUGAUACAGCAGACAGAGAGUUGGACGAGGUGACCUCCAGGACUUUCUUCAACUCUGAGACUUUUUGGUUUAUCAUAUACAAUGAAUUAAACUCUUUGCUGGGUACCCUGGAGGCUAUAGAGGAUUAUGAUUGAAGAAUUUUUGAGAUAUCUUGUUAAGCACCGUUGUCCUUGUCCUCCUGCCCAUGUAGCCAAUUAGGAUAGCACCUUGUGGGGUUCCUCUAUUUCUUCCUACAGCCCACUGUGAAAGAACACGCACAUAUCAUAAAAACAUUUCCUUAUGUUUCAUCUUGCCCAAAUAUUAUGUUAAUAUAGUAACCGGAUUUCAACUCGAGUGCCUCUCUAAAUGAUUGUUAUUGCCUGCCUAGAGGAUUAUGUUAAAAAAAGAUGCUGAAGUCUAGCUUUAAAUCAAAGAGGGAGUGGCAGCACUUAUUAUGUUAACUAAUUACUACAGAUACAUGCUAUUCCAGUAUGAAAUAAUAAACAAAUAAACAGGUGAUUUGAUAUCAGUGGUGUAUAUAAAGCAACUUGCACACGCAACUGAAACGCUUAGAAAAAUUGUAAAAUUGCCUUUAUCACACCUUUAACUAUUUGGCUGUAGGAUUUGAAGUUUAAAAACACUCUUUCCAAUUUCUUGACAAAGAGCAACUGUUGAGUCUGUGCAAAUUCUACUGAUUUCAUCAGAUUGUGAAGACUCUGUUUAUUAAUUAAGUUAUAAAUUAAUCCCAAGGAUGUUAUUGCUAGGAUAAUAUUUAAUCCCAGGCUUUCUUUCCACAGUGAUGUGCUUCUGCUGUGUCUGCAACAUUUCUAAGAAGCCGUUUACAAGAGGGCUAUUUCGACUGAGAAUGCCCUUGGGAGACUUCAGAGCCAAAAGUAAACCAAUCUGACUUUAUUCACCUGUAAGGAAUGGAAUAUCUGAUUGGACUCUGGUUUUUCAGUUUGCUUUCAUUAAAACUUUAAUGCAUCCGGCUUUAAAGCUUACAUUUCUCUCUGUAUUUUGAGGUGAGUAGCAAUGUCGCUCAGGAGACUUCUCAAGGGCAUGGAUUCAUGGCAAUUUGGGGAAACUGU
rnacentral:lncRNA from 1 species